rnacentral:rRNA from 1 species
GGAAAACUUACCAGGUCCAGACAUAGUGAGGAUUGACAGAUUGAGAGCUCUUUCUUGAUUCUAUGGGAGGUGGUGCAUGGCCGUUCUUAGUUGGUGGAGUGAUUUGUCUGGUUAAUUCCGUUAACGAACGAGACCCCCGCCUGCUAAAUAGGUCCGUGAAUGAAUUUCAUUGACGAGAUCUUCUUAGAGGGACUUUUGGUGCCUAACCAAAGGAAGUUGGGGGCAAUAA